UGAUUCGGUGUUCAUGAGGGAAUGAAUAUGCAAUCUUUCUCUUAUUCACUUGCAGGCUGAAAGUGCGAUCGCCGCUCUCAACUGUAGCGGUGUGGUUCUGGGGUCACUGCCCAUAAGGGUAAGUCCAUCCAAGACCCCAGUUCGGCCACGCACUCCUCGCCUUCCCAUGCACUGAAUGUCCAGGACCCUUCUGAUUUAGUAUCAGUUUAUAUAUAUAUAUUUAGAAUCCAUACGCGCAUCCAUGUAAAUAUAUUUCCCAUGUUGAUGGUCUGCCAGUUUAUAUAUAAUAUAUAUUGUCCGCCGCUGCGCUCGGGAGUCAUUGAGUUAUCUUCUGUUUGUCCUUGCAACUAACAGUAUAUAGAGUUGGAUGGAGCUUGGAGGCUUUGAAAUGAUGUUAUGCAUUAUAACUCACUAAUGUGGACUAGAUUUUGUCCCAAA